rnacentral:rRNA from 1 species
UGGGGAAUCUUGCACAAUGGGGGCAACCCUGAUGCAGCGACGCCGCGUGAGCGAUGAAGGUUUUCGAAUCGUAAAGCUCUGUCCUAUGGGAAGAUAAUGACGGUACCAUAGGAGGAAGCCCCGGCUAACUACGUGCCAGCAGCCGCGGUAAUACGUAGGGGGCGAGCGUUGUCCGGAAUUACUGGGCGUAAAGGGUUCGCAGGCGGCAUGGCAAGUCCGAUGUAAAAGGCGAAGGCUCAACCUUCGUAAGCAUCGGAAACUGUCAAGCUUGAGUGAAGGAGAGGCAAGUGGAAUUCCUAGUGUAGCGAUGGAAUGCGUAGAUAUUAGGAGGAAUACCGGUGGCGAAGGCGACUUGCUGGACUUCAACUGACGCUGAGGAACGAAAGCGUGGGUAGCAAACAGG